CUCCAUUUUCGUUACGAACCUACCAGCAAUCAUGGAUAACAUCGAUUUCAACGCUCCCCAUUCCGUGGGAAUCACUAUCAUCGGUGUUACCUACAACGUCAGAGUCGUUAUUGGAGCCGAUUCUCGAACUAGCAAUGGCUGCAUAUUGUCAGGUUGUCUUUGACUAUGGCCGCUAUUUCCUCCGUCAACACAUGUAAGUGGCUUACUCAAUUGUGUAUAACUGUUAAAACACUUUCCUUUGUACUAAGAUGUUUUAGACUAUAAUUUUUGAUAAAGCCUAUGAGACUGGUCCGAGACUAUUGUUGGAUGAGAAAGCAAUUCAGAAAACAGGCCCAAGAUUUGGAGGGUGUGUGAGAGGUAGUCUUUGGUUUCGUGUAUUCAUGAGCAUGUUCACAUCACUAUUAAGUUUUCAUUUUAUGUAGGAUUCAGCUCGGAUAACCUGCCAUAGUCAAGGUUGCAGCCAACCUUGUUCGGCUUCUCGCAUAUAACAACAAGAAUAACUUGCAAACCGGGUUAAUUGUCGGUGGCUGGGGCAAGUACGAAGGUGGUCAGAUAUUUCUAUUGGAGGUAUAUGACUGUUAAAACAUGUUAACGCGCUUUUUCUAUACACACAGAUGGUGCCAGUGGAUUUUAGUUAUCUAUUGUAUGUAUAUAAGUUGAUAGCUCCUGGAGAUUCUAUUAUAGCCUAUACUAUUAGGAAGGUUCUUAGAGAUGGCAGAAUGUGUUAAGCUCAUAUUGGAAGUUAAAGUUGAAGAUGGUGUGGAUUAUAAUAAAGAAGGAGUUAUUCUUCGUGUUCGUGGGAAGAAUAUUCUAGAGAAUGAACAUGUCUUGUAGUUAGUUAACAGGGGUUUCAACAAGGAACUUAGUGGGUUUAUGGAUGAGGCAUGUAGAUUGGCAAUGAUGGUGUUGAUGUUACAGCACAAUUAAUGUGUCUUGAUUAUUUCAUUUGCAAAUGGAUUUACAUCCUUCACUACUUCACUUCACUACUAAAGUUUCAAUGCUAUCAAAGGAAUUUUGGUUGAUUGUGUGUUCUCUGGUGGCUUGUAAUUGUAAAUCUGAAUAUUUGUAUGAUGUAGUGCAAGUUUGUGGGAUAUUAUUCUUUCCCUAUUCUUUUUUGUGUUGUAUUAAGGAGUGAGUACCCCUUGUACUAGUAUUAAUACAUUUCUCUUAAAAAAUAUAAUUGAAAUUUUUUUUGAUGUAGUUUUAAAUUUUGUGUGGUCGAUAUAGAAAGUAUUGCAAAUUUUGAUUAUUAAAAAAAUAUUAAUUGUGGGAAAUAAAUAUUUAUAUAAUACACCAACGGGAAAUACGUGAAGGAUCAAGGUAUUAAAUUUUGUCACUAACCGUUGUUAUAGCACUAAAAAUUUGUCCAACACUUGAAAAUUGCCGUAGCCA